rnacentral:rRNA from 1 species
GAUGAACGCUAGCGGCAGGCUUAAUACAUGCAAGUCGAGGGACAGCACAGGUAGCAAUACUGGGUGGUAACCGGCAAACGGGUGCGGAACACGUACACAACCUUCCUUUAAGUGGGGGAUAGCCCAGAGAAAUUUGGAUUAAUACCCCGUAAUAUAGUUGAAUGGCAUCAUUUGAUUAUUAUAGCUACGGCGCUUAAUGAUGGGUGUGCGGCUGAUUAGAUAGUUGGCGGGGUAACGGCCCACCAAGUCUACGAUCAGUAGCUGAUGUGAGAGCAUGAUCAGCCACACGGGCACUGAGACACGGGCCCGACUCCUACGGGAGGCAGCAGUAAGGAAUAUUGGUCAAUGGACGCAAGUCUGAACCAGCCAUGCCGCGUGAAGGAUUAAGGUCCUCUGGAUUGUAAACUUCUUUUAUUUGGGACGAAAAAGGGCCUUUCUAGGUCAACUGACGG